rnacentral:lncRNA from 1 species
CUCAUGGAUUCUCAAUUCAGGGUUAUGACACAGGCCUGCAAGCUCCAGGAAGAUGUUCCAUCCUAUCUCACUUGUUAUGCAGAAAGGGUAAAUCAUCAACGGAACCGUACAUUGUUGCUCACAAUAUCCUCUUAUCACAUGCUGCUGCGUUUCAUACUUACAAGCGCAACUUUAAGGUAAAUCAUUCGCUUGAAUAUAACUAUGGUCCCAGUUAUGCACAAUAAUCAUAGGAAGACAAGAAAGUAUGCCUAAUAACAUACAAAUGGAUAUUUUAGGCAAAACAGGAUGGUGCUAUUGGAAUUGCUCUGGAUUCCAAAUGGUAUGAACCAAUAUCUGAUGCAGAUGAGGACCAGGAUGCUGCUCAUAGGGCAAUGGACUUCGAAUUAGGAUGGUAAUUAUUAUGGUUUACUAACUGAUACAAUAUUACAUUAUUUUGAUUGUGAGAAUUAAAGGAGAAAAUGGAAUCAGGUUCUUGGAUCCCCUAAUCUUUGGGCACUAUCCUCGCUCCAUGCAGAAUAUUGUAGGCAGCAGGCUGCCAAAUAUUACAAGCAAGAUGUCUAAGUCAUUGGCUGGGACACUAGAUUUUGUAGGCAUAAACCACUACACCACAUUAUAUGUGCGCAAUGAUCGAAUCAGAAUAUGGAAUCUUGUAUUGGAUGAUGCUUCAACUGAUGCAGGUGUAAUUGCAACUUGUAAGACCUAACAGGAAAAAAAAAAGAAAAAAAAAUUUUCUUUGCUUCACUGAUUUUGCUUAUUAAUUCAUUGUCUCCUUGCAGCUUUCCGACAUGGAGAGAUGAUUGGUGAAAGAGUAUGUCAUAUAAACCAUGCUAAAAUUUCUGAUUUUUUAUUUAAUGAUCAAGUACCUAAGUAUCACUUCCAGCAUUUUUCAGGCUGCAUCACACUGGCUGCACAUAGUCCCAUGGGGAAUUCGCAAGCUAAUGAGAUACAUCAAGGAGAAGUAUGGAAAUCCAUUAGUUAUUAUAACAGAAAAUGGUAAGGCUUAUCUUUGUGAGAAAAGAAUUAACUUUCAACCAAUGUGAUGGGGGAAAAAGCUCACAGAACUGAUUCUUUUUCAUAGGUAUGGAUGACUCAAACAACCCAUUUGCUACUCUAGACAAAGCGCUAGAGGAUAACAAGAGGAUACAUUACCAUAAUGACUAUCUUUCUAAUCUAAGCGCCGCCGUAAGGUAAGUUUUUUAACCAUAAUGAAGGGUAUCAUGGAGGCAGCUUUGGACUCUUUGAAUGAAAUGAUAGACAGAGCUACGUUCAGUAAAUUUCUGAAGAAAACUAAAUAAUGGGAUUAAAUUCUCAGGUCUUUGGUGGAAAGAGAAGAAAAACAGAUGAUGAGUGUUUAACAAUCUACAUGCAAAUCUAAUUUUUCUUAAAUUCUUAUUUUUAAAAAAAAGUAACAAUGAUGUUAUUUUUUCUUUACAACUUCAGUCUUUUUGAAGAAAUCUAAUGAAUUUAAAAUGAUUUAGGAGAAAAACAAAUAGCCCCUGUAAAAGGAUGAAAGACACUAAAAAAUGGUAAUAAUACCCUUGAUUGAUUAAAAUGUAAAAAAAAAACUGUUUUUCAAAAAUAUUUUGCACAUGAUAAUAACAGACAGGGCUACUUCAAAGCAGAUUAAGUUGACCUUGAUGCAUCAAAUUUAUGUUCUUUGGACACUUAGGAUGCUUAGGCCACAAAGCAACACCAACUACAUAACUAAAAUGUCAAUUUACACCAAAAGGAAUUCAGUUUAUAUUAUCCUUUUUAUUGUGAAUAGCUUCACUCUUCAGCUACACCGCUUCCCAGUUAAUUGCACAAUCAACCAUCAAACAAUGCAGGGAGGAUGGCUGCAAUGUACGUGGUUACUUUGUGUGGUCGCUACUCGAUAACUGGGAAUGGAACUCGGGCUACACGGUUCGAUUUGGCCUCUAUUUUGUUGAUUACAGGGACAACCUCAAAAGGAUACCCAAAGCUUCUGUUAAAUGGUUCAAACAUUUUCUACAAAGACAGUAAUGUGCAAUUCUACUAAAGAAAAUAAUAUGUGAAUUACAGUUCACAGUGACAAAAUCACUAGCCAUUUUCAAACAUGUUGUACAAGAACCACUUGUAAGAACUUUGUCAUCUUCAUCAAAUUUUUUAAUAUAUCAUCCAUUCCAUUAGUCAUAAAAGUUCAGAGUCUGUGGUGAUGCUUAAUUUGCUUUAAAGGCUCAAAGUAUGCUUCAUCGUUCCAACAUUUUUAUUAGCUCUAAUUAUAAUAUUAAUGCGAUAACAGAGAAUGCUGCAAGUCCAUAUCAUACAAGUUGACUUGAGAUAAUCAUAAAAAUCAAAUCUUUUUGCUUCCAAUGGAACAAACAUAGCAUUAUCAUCCAUGAGACUAAGAAUUAUAGCAAAUCUGGAUUGGAUUUAUUCACAGAGCAUCAAAGAAUUAAGGUAUUGAAGGAAAGAGUACCGAAUUAAAUCUUCCUCUCAGAAACUAAGCCUUCUGAUCCUCCAAAAUCGCAUUCGCUGUCUCUGUCCUACAAAAUAGCAUAUUGGAGGCGACAGUUCUCUAUGAGAUCCAGGGAUCUCCGAGGGUCGGCAUCUCGUGGAGGGCGGAGACCACGGCGUCGUUGGAGACGGCGCCGGGAACUAUGAAAGGGAUCCGUUGAGGGGUCUCUCAGACGGCGAUCGCGGCAAUUUGACUGUCCAACGACGCCAGGAACUAUGAAAGGGGUCGUUUGAGGGGUCUCUCAGACGGCGAUCGUGGCAAUUUGACUGGUGUGCUUUUGGGACGAGGAAGGCAUUAAAGACCCUCCGGUUCGUCCUAGGGUCAGGGAAUGUUUUACGGCUAGGGACAGGGGAGGUGCGGCGUGGAGAAAGUACCAUAUAUACACCCACAUAAAGUGGGUGCUUUUUUUUCCUUUUUUUUUUUUGGGUAAAAGAGAGGCAAAGCUAUAUUAUUCAAAGCAUAAAGAGUAAAGAACAGAGGCCUUAAACAAAACUGAGAAAUCCUCGGAAGGACGAGGGAAGAAGAUACAGCCAAAAGUUCUAAUUACAAAGGAAGUAGCAGCUAUCCAAAAUGAAGAAGCAGAAACCAUGAUACAGAAGAGUCUAAGCACAGAUACAUAAACAUCAGCUCCAGCGAAAGUCAUGACAACAGGAAGUAUAAAGAGACGGCCCUAGAUGUAAUGGGAUAUUAUGAUAAACCAUAGAAGCCCAAUCCCCUGAAACCGCAACAAGAACAUAGUUCUCGACAACAGCAGCUGCACCAUACCCAGCAGCUUCAAAAACUUCCCUGUACUAGGUAGUACAACAUCGAUAGAAGGAAUAGAUUUAUGGAUGUUCAGCCAACAUCUAUGAAAGUAGGGCCUGUCAGCGGUAAGCAACCAGCCACAGAAGAUAUGUGAGAGAAAACUAGCUUGAUUCAGCAAAGCAUGGAUAGCUGUGAUGCCCCGCUCAAAUAAUAAAGACGCAUCAAAAAUAAAAAAUAGGUUAGACUCCCGUUAAAAGUCUUCUCUUCUGCUGGACUCUCAUUCGGAGUCGGAACGAAGGUUCCUUAUGAAAUCUCCCACCAUCAGCCAUCGGAUUAUUGUCGAAGAAGCACUCUUAUCUUUCGAGUCCAUCAUGAUCUCUCACUGUAUCUGUCGGAAAUCGGGUUGGAGAGCCUGCCAGAGCCCAAGAUAAGCCCCAUCCCUCCUCCAUCUCUUUUAUCCUCUUCUUUCCAUUGCAUUAGAUAAUGUCACCGGCUGCCAGUUUCUUUGAAAAUUUUGAAAAAGAAAAAUCCUGUGGUUCCACCCCUCCUCUUUUUGAUUUUUCUGGAG